CAGUCGAGCGGAACGAUCCUAGCUUGCUAGGAGGCGUCGAGCGGCGGACGGGUGAGUAAUGCAUAGGAAUCUGCCCGGUAGUGGGGGAUAACCUGGGGAAACCCAGGCUAAUACCGCAUACGCCCUACGGGGGAAAGCAGGGGAUCUUCGGACCUUGCGCUAUCGGAUGAGCCUAUGUCGGAUUAGCUAGUUGGUGAGGUAACGGCUCACCAAGGCUGCGAUCCGUAGCUGGUCUGAGAGGAUGAUCAGCCACAUCGGGACUGAGACACGGCCCGAACUCCUACGGGAGGCAGCAGUGGGGAAUAUUGGACAAUGGGCGAAAGCCUGAUCCAGCCAUGCCGCGUGUGUGAAGAAGGCCUUCGGGUUGUAAAGCACUUUCAGUGAGGAAGAAAGCCUUGAGGUUAAUACCCUCGAGGGAGGACAUCACUCACAGAAGAAGCACCGGCUAACUCCGUGCCAGCAGCCGCGGUAAUACGGAGGGUGCGAGCGUUAAUCGGAAUUACUGGGCGUAAAGCGCGCGUAGGCGGCUUGAUAAGCCGGUUGUGAAAGCCCCGGGCUCAACCUGGGAACGGCAUCCGGAACUGUCAGGCUAGAGUGCAGGAGAGGAAGGUAGAAUUCCCGGUGUAGCGGUGAAAUGCGUAGAGAUCGGGAGGAAUACCAGUGGCGAAGGCGGCCUUCUGGACUGACACUGACGCUGAGGUGCGAAAGCGUGGGUAGCAAACAGGAUUAGAUACCCUGGUAGUCCACGCCGUAAACGAUGUCGACUAGCCGUUGGGCUCCUUGAGAGCUUUGUGGCGCAGUUAACGCGAUAAGUCGACCGCCUGGGGAGUACGGCCGCAAGGUUAAAACUCAAAUGAAUUGACGGGGGCCCGCACAA
rnacentral:rRNA from 1 species